GCAGAGAACUAAUCGCUUAAUAGUAUUGUUUUAUCGUUUGUUUUCUUGAGAGCAAGAAGGCAAAGUGGAAGUCAAGAAGUAAGAAUGGACAUCAUGAAAACAUCAGUAAGAAUUUCUGUUCUAAAAAUGGGUUGCUCAUUACAAGAUGAAGAAAAUCCAGCAGAACUGUGUGGAGCACUGAGGGCGUAGCAAAAUAAUGGAUCGUCAGUACCAGAUGGAUGUGUGAAGUUAAGCUGGCUGAAGAUCAGAUUUGGCUGCUAUGGACGUUCUAAGUGCAUCUACAGAGGAAGCUUAAUCUUUCCCAUCCCAGAUGGCUGUCUUGAAAGGGUAUGGAUUGCUAUCAUUAAUCACUCCUUUCUCUUAUAUAGGGAAUGUAAAU